AUUGAACGCUGGCGGCAGGCCUAACACAUGCAAGUCGAGCGGAUGAAGGGAGCUUGCUCCUGGAUUCAGCGGCGGACGGGUGAGUAAUGCCUAGGAAUCUGCCUGGUAGUGGGGGAUAACGUCCGGAAACGGGCGCUACUACCGCAUACGUCCUGCGGGAGAAAGAUGGGGAUCUUCGGACCUCACGCUAUCAGCUGAGCCUAGGUGGGAUUAGCUAGUUGGUGGGGUAAAGGCCCACCAAGGCGACGAUACAUAACUGACCUGAGAGGGAGAUAGGUCACACUGGGACUGAGACACGGCCCAGACUCCUACGGGAGGCAGCAGGAGGGAAACUUUGGCAAGAGAGGGAAGUCUGACCCAGCAAAGCCGGGGGAGUGAAGAAGGGUUUCGGAUUGUAAAGCUCUGUUGUGUGGGAAGAAAGAGUGUGAGAGUGGAAAGUUCAUUUUGUGACGGUACCUAAAAAGAAAGGCCCGGCUAACUACGUG
rnacentral:rRNA from 1 species